rnacentral:rRNA from 1 species
UACGUAGGGUGCGAGCGUUGUCCGGAAUUAUUGGGCGUAAAGAGCUCGUAGGCGGUUUGUUGCGUCGGCCGUGAAAACCUGCAGCUUAACUGUGGGCCUGCGGCCGAUACGGGCAGACUUGAGUUCGGUAGGGGAGACUGGAAUUCCUGGUGUAGCGGUGAAAUGCGCAGAUAUCAGGAGGAACACCGGUGGCGAAGGCGGGUCUCUGGGCCGAUACUGACGCUGAGGAGCGAAAGCGCGGGGAGCGAACAGG